UACGUAGGGGGCGAGCGUUGUCCGGAAUCAUUGGGCGUAAAGCGCGUGUAGGCGGCUCGGUAAGUCCGGUGUGAAACCUUGGGGCUCAACCCCAAGCCUGCACUGGAUACUGUCGAGCUUGAGUCCGGGAGGGGAGAGCGGAAUUCCUAGUGUAGCGGUGAAAUGCGCAGAUAUUAGGAAGAACACCGGUGGCGAAGGCGGCUACUCUGGAACGGUACUGACGCUGAGACGCGAAAGCGUGGGGAGCAAACAGG
rnacentral:rRNA from 1 species